CCUGGUUGCUGAAUUUCUUGGUCACCACCUUGCCCAGGUCUAGCCCGAGCCGGUCCGCCACGCGCUGGGACAGGUCCUGGUGCGAGCUGCCGCUGAAGAGCACGAUGUUGGGCAUGGCGGAUACAAUAUAACCAGAGGACACAGCUUGUGGACAAGAAUGAGAACAAUUCUCACUUAGACUGCCUUUAACUGAACAACAGAAAAUAUCUCUUGGUGCCGAGAAACUUUCUUUCCCUGGAAAAUUUGUCACUGUUUUUCUAAUCUCAGCUUUGAGGUCCCAAAUGCAUGACCUAAAAAAUUCUUCUAUUGGGCUGAUGGUGUUUUAUCUUUGGAAAUUGUCUUCUGAGGUCAGAGUGAUGUUGUCACAAUCCAUCAAGUCCUGAGCCUAAUGGACCUACGCAAUCUACGGAGACUGGAGAAUAGCAUACCUUUGAAAUUACAGCCUUGGACAAGCUCACUAGCACAUGCACAUGCAUGCACUUAAAUGCAAAUAUCUAUUCAUUUUUACAGCAAAGAACACAGGAUAUCUCAAGUUGGAUCCAAGGCAAUCUAGCCCUUGCUGUUUUUCUAUUGAUCAUUUUAUACUUUCUAUUAUCUUUUAUUCUUUGUUUCCAUCUUCAUUUCAUUUCUUCUCUUGUUCCAAAUAAAAGUGUGGAAGAGAGAAAAAUGCCUGUACUCAAAUGCUUGAAUUCAUUAUGAUGGCUGCUUUAGCCACUGGAGGACUCGAGGUCGUAUUAAAAUAUUUCUAAACAGCUGCAAUGUUUCUCUCUUUUUUUUCCAAAUUGAAACCUAAAGAUAGUAGAUAGAUUGUAAUAAGAAGGUGCCUAGCUUUCAUAUUACCUGAUCCAGCAGCCAGAAAUAAAACAAGUUUUUGGUUUAAUGCUCUGACAUGUACCUUGCUCAGAUGCAUAAACGUAAAAGAUUUUUUUCUUGUGUAGAAUUUCACACAAUCUUUGAAAUAAUGAGAGUAAUAAAUUAAAUGAUUUUUAGAAUACAAAUUUUCUCUCUUCUCACUUCCACCUGGUCAGAUGUUUAUUGUAUAAGGGGGUUAAAGUAUAUAAGGGUUUGGCUAUGAAAAUCAAAGAUUCCAUAUCACUGUAGAAUAAUUUGCUUUCUCACUGAAUCCUGGAAAAAGCAAAACUUUAUAAUGAGUAAAAAAAAGAUCUUGCAUCUCUUCAAAAAUAUUUGUGAGAAUCACCAUUCAGUAGUCCGUGAUUGCUGGUGGUACUGCUGUGAUACAUCACAGAUCUUGAAGUUCCCUACACCUUUCAAUCUGAACACAUACC